UCGAGGAUCUUCGGCAAUGAGCGCAAGCUUGACCGAGCGACGCCGCGUGGGCGAUGAAGGCCUUCGGGUUGUAAAGCCCUGUCGGGGGGGAGAAAGGGUAAAACUUGAUCUAUCCCCGGAGGAAGCACGGGCUAAGUUCGUGCCAGCAGCCGCGGUAAGACGAACCGUGCGAACGUUGUUCGGAAUCACUGGGCUUAAAGGGCGCGUAGGCGGGUUCUCAAGUCCGGGGUGAAAGCCUCCCGCUUAACGGGAGAAGAGCCUCGGAUACUGAAGACCUCGAGGAGGGUAGGGGCAAGCGGAACUAUGGGUGGAGCGGUGAAAUGCAUUGAUAUCCAUAGGAACUCCGGUGGCGAAGGCGGCUUGCUGGACCCUUUCUGACGCUGAGGCGCGAAAGCCAGGGGAGCAAACGGGAUUAGAUACCCCGGUAGUCC
rnacentral:rRNA from 1 species